GACGAACGCUGGCGGCGUGCUUAACACAUGCAAGUCGAACGGAAAGGCCCUUCGGGGUACUCGAGUGGCGAACGGGUGAGUAACACGUGGGUGAUCUGCCCUGCACUUUGGGAUAAGCCUGGGAAACUGGGUCUAAUACCGAAUAGGACCACGCGCUUCAUGGUGUGUGGUGGAAAGCUUUUGCGGUGUGGGAUGGGCCCGCGGCCUAUCAGCUUGUUGGUGGGGUAAUGGCCUACCAAGGCGACGACGGGUAGCCGGCCUGAGAGGGUGACCGGCCACACUGGGACUGAGAUACGGCCCAGACUCCUACGGGAGGCAGCAGUGGGGAAUAUUGCACAAUGGGCGCAAGCCUGAUGCAGCGACGCCGCGUGAGGGAUGACGGCCUUCGGGUUGAAAACCUCUUUCACCAGGGACGAAGCGUAAGUGACGGUACCUGGAGAAGAAGCACCGGCCAACUACGUG
rnacentral:rRNA from 1 species